GACGAACGCUGGCGGCGUGCUUAACACAUGCAAGUCGAACGGAAAGGCCCUGCUUUUGUGGGGUGCUCGAGUGGCGAACGGGUGAGUAACACGUGAGUAACCUGCCCUUGACUUUGGGAUAACUUCAGGAAACUGGGGCUAAUACCGGAUAGGAGCUCCUGCUGCAUGGUGGGGGUUGGAAAGUUUCGGCGGUUGGGGAUGGACUCGCGGCUUAUCAGCUUGUUGGUGGGGUAGUGGCUUACCAAGGCUUUGACGGGUAGCCGGCCUGGGAGGGUGACCGGCCACCUUGGGACUGCGAUACGGCCCAGACUCCUACGGGAGGCAGCAGUGGGGAAUAUUGCACAAUGGGCGGAAGCCUGAUGCAGCAACGCCGCGUGCGGGAUGACGGCCUUCGGGUUGUAAACCGCUUUCGCCUGUGACGAAGCGUGAGUGACGGUAAUGGGUAAAGAAGCACCGGCUAACUACGUG
rnacentral:rRNA from 1 species